rnacentral:rRNA from 1 species
AUUGAACGCUGGCGGCAGGCCUAACACAUGCAAGUCGAACGAGUGGCGGACGGGUGAGUAAUGUCUGGGAAACUGCCUGAUGGAGGGGGAUAACUACUGGAAACGGUAGCUAAUACCGCAUACCCUCUGAUGUGCCCCGAUGGGAUUAGCUAGUAGGGGGGGUAACGGCUCACCUAGGGGACGAUCCCUAGCUGGUCUGAGAGGAUGACCAGCCACACUGGAACUGAGACACGGUCCAGACUCCUACGGGAGGCAGCAGUGGGGAAUAUUGCACAAUGGGCGCAAGCCUGAUGCAGCCAUGCCGCGUGUAUGAAGAAGGCCUUCGGGUUGUAAAGCACUUUCAGCGGGGAGGCGUUACCCGCAGAAGAAGCACCGGCUAACUCCGUGCCAGCAGCCGCGGUAAUAC